AUUGGAGCCUCCCUUCAGCACUUGGACCUCUCUGGAAACCCUGGCUCCCUGACUGGGGAUGACACCAGUAAACUGCAGAACCUCCUUCACGAGUGCCACUCGCUGUCCCAUCUCAGCCUGGCCAGCACAGACUGCCCCUUGGAUACUCUCUUUGGAGCCCUGGUCCACGGAUGCCACACCAGCCUCACCCAUCUGGAUCUCUCCAAAAAUGUGUAUUCCCACAAGAGGGUGAAAACCAGCUCCUCUGGCAUCAAGGAGUUUUUCAGCCGGGCCUGUUCCCUCAGGCACGUCUCCUUGGCAGGCACCAAGCUGCCAGCAGAUGCUGUAAGGUGAGGGGGGGCUAUGGGUCCACCAAGGGGAAUGGAUUUUGGGUGAGCAUGGUCUUGCAGAGGGAGUACACUCAGGGCUUUGCAUG
rnacentral:lncRNA from 1 species